GAUGAACGCUGGCGGCGUGCCUAAUACAUGCAAGUCGAGCGAACAGACGAGGAGCUUGCUCCUCUGACGUUAGCGGCGGACGGGUGAGUAACACGUGGAUAACCUACCUAUAAGACUGGGAUAACUUCGGGAAACCGGAGCUAAUACCGGAUAAUAUAUUGAACCGCAUGGUUCAAUAGUGAAAGACGGUUUUGCUGUCACUUAUAGAUGGAUCCGCGCCGCAUUAGCUAGUUGGUAAGGUAAGGGCUUACCAAGGCGACGAUGCGUAGCCGACCUGAGAGGGUGACAGUCCCCACUGGAAGUGGGUCACGGUCCAGACUCCUACGGGGGGCCGCAGUAGGGAAUCUUCCGCAAUGGGCGAAAGCCUGACGGAGCAACGCGGCGUGAGUGAUGAAGGUCUUCGGAUCGUAAAACUCUGUUAUUAGGGAAGAACAAAUGUGUAAGUAACUAAGCACGUCUUGACGGUACCUAAUCAGAAAGCCACGGCUAACUACGUG
rnacentral:rRNA from 1 species